rnacentral:rRNA from 1 species
GCGCAAAACCUUAUCCCUGAUUUGAUGUACGGUUAACCCUAUGAAAGCAGGGCCCGCUCGCAAGAGUGGAACGUGCACAGGUGCUGCAUGGCUGUCGUCAGCUCGUGUCGUGAGAUGUCGCGUUAAGUCGCUAAACGAGCGAAACCCCUAUCUUUAGUUGCCAGCGCGUCAUGGCGGGGACUCUAAAGAGACUGCCGGUGUCAAACCGGAGGAAGGCGGGGAUGACGUCAAGUCCUCAUGGCCUUUAUGCCCAGGGCUGCACACGUGCUACAAUGGGGCGUACAAAGCGCCGCGAAGUUGCGAAACCAAGCUAAUCGCAAAAAGCGUCCCCCAGUACGAAUUGCAGGCCGCAACUCGCCUGCAUGAAGCCGGAAUCGCUAGUAAUCGCCGAUCAGCAUUGCGGCGGUGAAUGUGUUCCCGAGCCUUGUACACACCGCCCGUCAAGCCACGAAAGCGCGG